rnacentral:rRNA from 1 species
AUUGAACGCUGGCGGCAUGCCUUACACAUGCAAGUCGAACGGUAACGAGCCUUCGGGUGCCGACACGUGGCGAACGGGUGAGUAAUACAUCGGAACGUGCCCGAUCGUGGGGGAUAACGAGGCGAAAGCUUUGCUAAUACCGCAUACGAUCUACGGAUGAAAGCAGGGGACCGCAAGGCCUUGCGCGGACGGAGCGGCCGAUGGCAGAUUAGGUAGUUGGUGGGAUAAAAGCUUACCAAGCCGACGAUCUGUAGCUGGUCUGAGAGGAUGAUCAGCCACACUGGGACUGAGACACGGCCCAGACUCCUACGGGAGGCAGCAGUGGGGAAUUUUGGACAAUGGGCGCAAGCCUGAUCCAGCCAUGCCGCGUGCAGGAUGAAGGCCUUCGGGUUGUAAACUGCUUUUGUACGGAACGAAAAGCCUUCUUUUAAUACAGGAGGGUCAUGACGGUACCGUAAGAAUAAGCACCGGCUAACUACGUG